rnacentral:rRNA from 1 species
CGUAGGUGGCAAGCGUUGUCCGGAAUUAUUGGGCGUAAAGCGCGCGCAGGCGGUCCUUUAAGUCUGAUGUGAAAGCCCACGGCUCAACCGUGGAGGGUCAUUGGAAACUGGGGGACUUGAGUACAGAAGAGAAGAGUGGAAUUCCACGUGUAGCGGUGAAAUGCGUAGAGAUGUGGAGGAACACCAGUGGCGAAGGCGACUCUUUGGUCUGUAACUGACGCUGAGGCGCGAAAGCGUGGGGAGCAAACAGGAUUAGAUACCCUGGUAGUCCACGCCGUAAACGAUGAGUGCUAAGUGUUAGAGGGUUUCCGCCCUUUAGUGCUGCAGCAAACGCAUUAAGCACUCCGCCUGGGGAGUACGGCCGCAAGGCUAG